rnacentral:tRNA from 1 species
GUCCUUGUAGCUUACAACAAAGCAUGGCACUGAAGAUGCCAAGACGGUCGUCUGCACACCCAAGGACA